rnacentral:rRNA from 1 species
AUUGAACGCUGGCGGCGUGCCUAACACAUGCAAGUCGAGCGGUAACAGGUGUAGCAAUACAUGCUGACGAGCGGCGAACGGGUGAGUAAUGCUUUGGAAUCUUCCCAGUAGUGGGGAAUAACCAGUCGAAAGAUUGGCUAAUACCGCAUACGUCUGUAAAGGGAAAGCGGGGCGUCGUAAGACCUCGCGCUAUUGGAUGAGCAAAGUACGGAUUAGCUAGUUGGUGGGGUAAGNGGCCUACCAAGGCGACAAUCCGUAGCUGGUCUGAGAGGACGACCAGCCACACCGGAACUGAGACACGGUCCGGACUCCUACGGGAGGCAGCAGUGGGGAAGUAA